GGAAUUGUCUUGGUUUGCAUGUAGGUACAUUGCUUGGAAAGUAAUGCCUCCUCUUUAUUUCCAUGGAAACUGGAACCGACACAAGGUACACAAUAGUACUGUUGGACAGAGUAGAUUCCCAGUUACAAAAUGCUGUUUUUUCAACAUAGUCACUAUCAUAGCUAUGCAUAUUCACUGGCAGUGAUCCUGAGCCUGGACGUUGCUGUCAUGAUCAUCUGCACCAGUGAAGCUGACCGUCUGUUGCUACUGCUGAAACACACCGCUCACCACCUCAGGGUGCUCACCUCCACUGCCUGAUCUCCAUAAUCAUUCUGCAAGUGUUGACGAAUGUCCGUGAUUGAACUUUCUCUGCAUGGAGUUUUUCAUUGACAAUCAGAGCUUGUUAAAGUCUUCCAUGUCAGAUCUUAUUUUGUCAAUCUGCCCCUCUGCAGCGAUCUUAUGAAUGGUAAGUAAAGGUAAUGGGAUAUUGGUGGGAUGGUUCAACCUCUUCUGUCAUUCCACCAAAGUACACCUUGCAUAUCGUGGGACACCGCAAUAAAAUGGGAGGCAUUACUUUCCAAGCUGCCCUCAUUGAGUAUACAGCAUCAUUAUUAUGAAAGUACAAAAACAUUUGCGUUUUAAAAAUAUUUCUUAAAACUUUUAUAAAAGCGGAACAGAAACAUGAAAUGAGUGUGUCAUUCUCCUGGUGAGAACAAUGCAUCAGGCUGGUUUGGUGGUACCAGAUGCAAUUCUUACUGACGACUCAGUGUCCUCUUCAGAGUUUUCUGAUGAAAAGUUUCUCCACCUGUACUUCAUCCUUGAUAACAGAUAUUCACAAAUGUACAUACAACAAAGAAACAAAGACAUGAGUAAAGGUUGAUGGUGAAGUGAGAGAUAUUUCUCUCUGGUAAGAUAGGGACUGUGAAAGUCUUCACCAGCCAGGGCUCUAGCUGCAUGGCCCAAGCUGCAGAAAGCAAGGUAAGAACUGGGAGAAGGAGGAUCUGCCUGCUGUCAGUGAAGAUCACAUUUGUGACCAUCUAAAGAACCUGCAGGUGCACAAGUGCAUGGGACCCG
ensembl:lncRNA